CAGCCGCCGCGGUAAUACGUAGGUGGCGAGCGUUGUCCGGAAUUACUGGGCGUAAAGGGCGUGUAGGCGGGGGUACAAGUCAGGUGUGAAAUACCGCGGCUCAACUGCGGGGGUGCAUCUGAAACUGUACUUCUUGAGUGUCGGAGAGGAAAGCGGAAUUCCCAGUGUAGCGGUGAAAUGCGUAGAGAUUGGGAGGAACACCAGUGGCGAAGGCGGCUUUCUGGACGACAACUGACGCUGAGGCGCGAAAGCGUGGGGAGCGAACAGGAUUAGAUACCCUGGUAGUCCACGCUGUAAACGAUGGAUACUAGGUGUAGGAGGUAUCGACCCCUUCUGUGCCGGAGUUAACACAAUAAGUAUCCCGCCUGGGGAGUACGGCCGCAAGGCUGAAACUCAAAGGAAUUGACGGGGGCCCGCACAAGCAGUGGAGUAUGUGGUUUAAUUCGAAGCAACGCGAAGAACCUUACCAGGGCUUGACAUCCCUCUGACGUAUCUGGAGACAGGUAUUCCCUUCGGGGCGGAGGAGACAGGUGGUGCAUGGCC
rnacentral:rRNA from 1 species